CACGUAGGGGGCAAGCGUUGUCCGGAUUUAUUGGGCGUAAAGAGCUCGUAGGCGGCUCAGUAAGUCAGGUGUGAAACCUCCAGGCUCAACCUGGAGACGCCACCUGAUACUGCUGUGGCUAGAGUCCGGUAGGGGAGCGUGGAAUUCCUGGUGUAGCGGUGAAAUGCGCAGAUAUCAGGAGGAACACCGAUGGCGAAGGCAGGUCUCUGGGCCACUACUGACGCUGAGAAGCGAAAGCAUGGGGAGCGAACAGG
rnacentral:rRNA from 1 species